rnacentral:lncRNA from 1 species
AGCCAUAUAUGAGGAAGAAAGAUAUGGGCCUAGGUGGAGAGCCACUGUGAAGAAACCUAAAGUUAUGGAUCCUUUGUGGGCAAGGCUGGUAAUUUUGUUUCUUUUUUUCUUUGUGUGGGAUAGAGAAGCCACAGACGGCAAGCUUAAGCCCAGACCAAAACCUCUUUGGCAAAUGGUCCCUGCCUGCUUAGAGGAUAAACAAUGUGAGGAAGCCGUUAGAGCCGUUAGGACAGGUCAGAGGGUCCUUGCAGAGCAACAAAGUAUGUCAGAGGGAGAAAAGGUCUCCAAAGAAAAAAAGAAAA